GGUAAGGUUGGUACCGAUGGUACCGAUGAACUGAACGCCGAUGAAAGGGUAGGAAGGAAAGUUACAUGUGGAAGGAAUGUGUAUUUGAAGUACUAGCUUAGAGUUAUUUUCGUGGAUGCAGGAGGGAGGAGUGGACUAGAUUCUAAGUACGUGGUAUACACCUGGUGUUCAAGAGAAUCCACGUCUUUCGAGACAACAUUAUGGUUCUGAAUAUAUCCCUAGAAAGGCACCAGCGAUGAAGGAUGUUGUAGAUGGUUGCAGGACUUGCUGCCUGGCACUCCCCCCAGUGACCAUCAUCCAUGAGGAGUCCUGUGACUACAGAUCAAGAAAGGUGAACCCAGGAAGUCCCUUCUCCUGCUACACAGGAAUGCUGAGGAGUUCCUCUAGUUAAGUGCUGGAGUGGAAUUGGUGAAGGAAGAGCUGUUCGCAAUGGUGGAUGUCCUCCAUCUAUGAGUGAGCAAGUACCAUUCAUCCCAUGAACUGCAUUCUGUCAUGGAGGAGGUCAAAUACUGAAGGUAUCCGUCACAUCACAUACAUUUCAUUGUCACAGGCGGGGACUCCAACCUAGAGGAGGACUACAUGAAGUAUCAGAAUGCCAGGAAAAGUGGGGCGUUUCGAGAUAGUGCGAUUCAGGAGCUGCAAGCUUCAUCAGCAACAUACAUCACUAUGAACUCAGUCUUUUAUUUCCACAACAAUAUACACUUUAUUCCACUGUUGGUAGCUAAUCGCUGUAUAAGUGUUGCAUGCAAUAAUGUGAUUGGCUUUAUAUAAUACAAGAUGUUAUGGAAAUAGAAGUUAAACCUUAUUUACAAUGUUUUAUUCCAUAUGUUGCUGUUAAAAUUUGAAGUCCUUUAUGCGCACUAUCUCGAAACAUACCACUUUUGUUGGGCACUCUGCACAUGUCCUCUCCAGCACGUAACCAUCCUUAUUCGCCAUGGUGCUCUCCCCAACCUGCAAACAAACAAAACAAAAUUAGAAUAAAGUAUUUUCACUAGCAACUUAUUGCCCCCUCUUGAAUGACCUGUGCUAAGUAAAAGUCCCUCAAGUUUGGGGGCAAUAAGUUGCUAUGAAACAAUGGCAUCAUUAAAUACACUGCUGUAAUGCAAAAAUAAAAACAUUACCAAUACA